rnacentral:rRNA from 1 species
GACGAACGCUGGCGGCGUGCUUAACACAUGCAAGUCGAACGGUAAGGCCCUUCGGGGUACACGAGUGGCGAACGGGUGAGUAACACGUGGGUGAUCUGCCCUGCACUUCGGGAUAAGACUGGGAAACUGGGUCUAAUACCGGAUAGGACCACUGCCUGCAUGGGUGGUGGUGGAAAGCUUUUGCGGUGUGGGAUGGGCCGGCGGCCUAUCAGCUUGUUGGUGGGGUGAUGGCCUAGCAAGGCGACGACGGGUAGCCGGCCUGAGAGGGUGACCGGCCACACUGGGACUGAGAUACGGCCCAGACUCCUACGGGAGGCAGCAGUGGGGAAUAUUGCACAAUGGGCGCAAGCCUGAUGCAGCGACGCCGCGUGAGGGAUGACGGCCUUCGGGUUGUAAACCUCUUUCAGCACCGACGAAGCGCAAGUGACGGUAGGUGCAGAAGAAGGACCGGCCAACUACGUGCCAGCCGCCGCCGUAAUAC